AGGCCAAAAAACUAAAAAGGGUUGUCUUGGCCUACUGUGAAAAAUACCACAGCAGCGUAGAAGGUACUAUAGUCAAGGCAAAGCCUUAUUUUCCCUUACCAGAGCCCCCUACAGAGCCCCCUACAGACCCCGAGCAGCCAUCCACAAGUACACAAGCUUCUGGCACACAACAUGGUCCCACAGCAUCUCUGGAUGCCGGUGCAGAGCAAGGUGCCACAGGAUCACCUGGAUCUAGUCCAGGACAACAGGGACAAGGGUCUCAGACAAAGGGUGGGCGCGCCGACCCAGCUUUCUUGUACAAAGUGGUUGAUGCUGUUAUGGACCCAGAAACGCUGGUGAAAGUAAAAGAUGCUGAAGAUCAGUUGGGUGCACGAGUGGGUUACAUCGAACUGGAUCUCAACAGCGGUAAGAUCCUUGAGAGUUUUCGCCCCGAAGAACGUUUUCCAAUGAUGAGCACUUUUAAAGUUCUGCUAUGUGGCGCGGUAUUAUCCCGUAUUGACGCCGGGCAAGAGCAACUCGGUCGCCGCAUACACUAUUCUCAGAAUGACUUGGUUGAGUACUCACCAGUCACAGAAAAGCAUCUUACGGAUGGCAUGACAGUAAGAGAAUUAUGCAGUGCUGCCAUAACCAUGAGUGAUAACACUGCGGCCAACUUACUUCUGACAACGAUCGGAGGACCGAAGGAGCUAACCGCUUUUUUGCACAACAUGGGGGAUCAUGUAACUCGCCUUGAUCGUUGGGAACCGGAGCUGAAUGAAGCCAUACCAAACGACGAGCGUGACACCACGAUGCCUGUAGCAAUGGCAACAACGUUGCGCAAACUAUUAACUGGCGAACUACUUACUCUAGCUUCCCGGCAACAAUUAAUAGACUGGAUGGAGGCGGAUAAAGUUGCAGGACCACUUCUGCGCUCGGCCCUUCCGGCUGGCUGGUUUAUUGCUGAUAAAUCUGGAGCCGGUGAGCGUGGGUCUCGCGGUAUCAUUGCAGCACUGGGGCCAGAUGGUAAGCCCUCCCGUAUCGUAGUUAUCUACACGACGGGGAGUCAGGCAACUAUGGAUGAACGAAAUAGACAGAUCGCUGAGAUAGGUGCCUCACUGAUUAAGCAUUGGUAACCGGUUAGUAAUGAGUUUAAACGGGGGAGGCUAACUGAAACACGGAAGGAGACAAUACCGGAAGGAACCCGCGCUAUGACGGCAAUAAAAAGACAGAAUAAAACGCACGGGUGUUGGGUCGUUUGUUCAUAAACGCGGGGUUCGGUCCCAGGGCUGGCACUCUGUCGAUACCCCACCGAGACCCCAUUGGGGCCAAUACGCCCGCGUUUCUUCCUUUUCCCCACCCCACCCCCCAAGUUCGGGUGAAGGCCCAGGGCUCGCAGCCAACGUCGGGGCGGCAGGCCCUGCCAUAGCAGAUCCACUAGUAACGGCCGCCAGUGUGCUGGAAUUCAGGGACAUAAAUCACAUUCCCAGAAUAUAUCCUGGGCAACACCUUCGCCAGGGCAUGCAACAAGAAUGUAAAGCCAGUGGUCUGGAAUUUUCUCUGUGCCAAAAAUAUGUCUUCUAAUGGAAAAUGGUUCAUUAAAUUGUUUUCAAUAAAAAAGUGUGUCAU
rnacentral:lncRNA from 1 species